AUGAAAAUGGUGUUUGUGAAAAUAAACCACCUACCUUACGAUGUUGAUAGCGUUUACAGAGAUGUAGUAACUGAGUUGUUCCCACCAAAUUUGUUGAUAAAAAGAAAGCAUUGCUGUUAUGAGAAGAAUACUCGGUGCCUGUUAUGCAAGGAAAUAUCAGCCCAUCAUGCUGUUUAUUUGUUGCAUUUGAAACACAAAAACCUGCUAACAUUUUACAAUAGGUUCCUGCAAAUGCACACAACAAUUCACCUUUUGCAUCUUAUCUACUUAUGCCUAUUAGCUUAUAACGUCAACAGAGCUAACAAACAGUGUGCACAGCUCAAAUAUUUACAUCAGCUGCAUUGCAUGUCAAUACGAAUAGGCAGGAUGGUCGUCUUCAUCAUCAUAUGA
rnacentral:rRNA from 1 species